GACGAACGCUGGCGGCGUGCUUAACACAUGCAAGUCGAACGAUGAAGCCGGAGCUUGCUCCGGUGGAUUAGUGGCGAACGGGUGAGUAACACGUGAGCAAUCUGCCCUUGACUCUGGGAUAACUGCGGGAAACUGUAGCUAAUACCGGAUACGACACCUUGGGGCAUCCCAGGGUGUGGAAAGAAUUUCGGUCAAGGAUGAGCUCGCGGCCUAUCAGCUAGUUGGUGAGGUAAUGGCUCACCAAGGCGACGACGGGUAGCCGGCCUGAGAGGGUGACCGGCCACACUGGAACUGAGACACGGUCCAGACUCCUACGGGAGGCAGCAGUGGGGAAUAUUGCACAAUGGGCGAAAGCCUGAUGCAGCAACGCCGCGUGAGGGAUGAAGGCCUUCGGGUUGUAAACCUCUUUUAGCAGGGAAGAAGCGAAAGUGACGGUACCUGCAGAAAAAGCAUCGGCUAACUACGUGCCAGCCGCCGCGGUAAAAC
rnacentral:rRNA from 1 species